rnacentral:rRNA from 1 species
GUCGAACGUGAAUGGAGUAAUUCUAGUAGAGUGGCGCAUGGGUGCGUAAUACGUGGAUAAUUUGCCCUUGGGAUCGGGAUAACUGCUGGAAACAGCAGUUAAUACCGGGUAAGACCACAGGUGUUAUGAUUUGUGGUAAAAGUGGGGGAUUUUUUGGAACCUCACACCUGAGGAUGAGUCCGCGGCCCAUUAGCUAGUUGGUAGGGUAAUGGCCUACCAAGGCUAAGAUGGGUAGCUGGUCUGAGAGGAUGACCAGCCACACUGGAAUUGAGACAUGGUCCAGACUCCUACGGGAGGCAGCAGUGGGGAAUAUUGCACAAUGGGCGUAAGCCUGAUGCAGCGACGCCGCGUGGGGGAUGAAGGCCUUCGGGUUGUAAACCCCUGUCGGCAGGGACGAAUGGGUGGGUAGUUAAUAUCUGCCUAUCUUGAUGGUACCUGUAAAGGAAGCACCGGUUAACUCUGUGUUAGUAGUUGCGGUAAGACAGAGGGUGCAAGCGUUGUUCGGAAUUACUGGGCGUAAAGGGCGCGUAGGCGGUUCUGCAAGUCGGAUGUGAAAUUUCUCGUUUUAAGCGAGGAAUUGCAUCCGAAACUGCAAGACUAGAGUCCUGGAGAGGGAACUGGAAUUCCUGGUGUAGAGGUGAAAUUCGUAGAGAUCAGGAGGAACACCCGAGGCGAAGGCGGGUUCCUGGACAGUGACUGACGCUGAGGCGCGAAAGCGUGGGUAGUAAAUAGGAUUAGAUAUCCUGGUAGUCCACGCUGUAAACGAUGGACACUAGUUGUCGGUGGUAUUGAUUCCGCCGGUGACGAAGUUAAUGUAUUAAGUGUCCCGCCUGGGGAGUACGGCCGCAAGGUUAAAAUUUAAAGGAAUUGACGGGGGUUCGUACAAGCGGUGGAGCAUGUAGUUUAAUUCGGCGCAAUGCGAAGAAUUUUACCCAGGUUUGAUAUUUAGGGAACCCGCUAGAGAUAGUGGGGUGCCCUUUGGGGAGCCCUAAGAUAGGUGCUGUAUGGCUGUCGUUAGCUCGUGUUGUGAGAUGUUGGGUUAAGUCUUGUAAUGAGCGUAACCCCUGCCGUUAGUUGCCAGUGAGUAAUGUUGGGUAUUCUAACGGGACUGCCGGUGUUAAGCCGGAGGAAGGUGGGGACGACGUUAAGUCCUUAUGGCCUUAUACCUGGGGUUAUAUACGUGCUACAAUGGCUGGUAUAAAGGGUAGCAAAACCGUGAGGUGGAGCGAAUUUUAAAAAACCGGCCUUAGUUCAGAUUGGAGUCUGUAAUUUGACUCCAUGAAGUCGGAAUCGUUAGUAAUCGCGGAAUAGUAGGCCGCGGUGAAUACGUUUCCGGGCCUUGUACAUACCGCCCGUCACACCAUGGGAGUCGGCUGCUCCAGAAGUUGCUGAGUUAAUUUGUAAGGGAGGUAGGCGCCCAAGGAGUGGUCGGUGACUGGGGUGAAGUUGAAAUAAGGUA